rnacentral:rRNA from 1 species
UACGUAGGGUGCGAGCGUUGUCCGGAAUUAUUGGGCGUAAAGAGCUCGUAGGCGGUCUGUCGCGUCGGUCGUGAAAACUUGGGGCUUAACCCUGAGCUUGCGGUCGAUACGGGCAUGACUGGAGUUCGGCAGGGGAGACUGGAAUUCCUGGUGUAGCGGUGAAAUGCGCAGAUAUCAGGAGGAACACCGGUGGCGAAGGCGGGUCUCUGGGCCGAUACUGACGCUGAGGAGCGAAAGCGUGGGGAGCAACAGG